GGGAUAGCUCAGCUGGUAGAGCCGGAGACUCUUAAUCUCAGGGUUGUGGGUUCGAGCCCCACGUUGGGCCA